UACGAAGGGAGCUAGCGUUGUUCGGAAUCACUGGGCGUAAAGCGCACGUAGGCGGAUGUGUCAGUCAGGGGUGAAAUCCCGGAGCUCAACUUCGGAACUGCCUCUGAUACAGCACGUCUUGAGUCCGAUAGAGGUAGGUGGAAUUCCUAGUGUAGAGGUGAAAUUCGUAGAUAUUAGGAAGAACACCGGUGGCGAAGGCGGCCCACUGGAUCGGUACUGACGCUGAGGUGCGAAAGCGUGGGGAGCAAACAGG
rnacentral:rRNA from 1 species